rnacentral:rRNA from 1 species
ACUUGACCUCAAUCAGGUAGGACUACCCGCUGAC